UAGCAGGCACAUUGACAUAUUAAGAAGCAGUGGUGUUCAGCUUCAUAAUGAGUAUAUACAGUAAAACACAACACAGAAUACUAGUUGAUGGUUUGGUUGCAAUUCAAUUAUUUGCAUAUAUCAGCAGACCAGUUGUCUUUAUUACUAGGCAGAGAAAUAAUGAAUAUUCAUUAGACAGUCACUUGAAACUGCAGAAACCAAGAAAAUGCUGAUAUGACACCAAGUCAAGAUUAACUUCUGGAGAGGAUAUAUAUCUUUCAGCGGGGCCAAGGGUGGUGGGUGGCGCGUAGGUUCCACGUAGGCGAUCACCUAUUAUAGGCGAUCACUACCGCUUGGAUAAUCCCAACUGUCUUUUUGCGCUAAACGCUGACGAAAUUUUCAAAAAAAGUUUCGUUAGGAUUUGUUGGAAUGUAUGUGGUUUAGCAAAUACAGUACGCUACAAAUGAGUUGUAGUACAAUGAAAA